UGAAGAUCUGCUGACUCUGCCUGCCUGCUGAAUUUUGGCCUGAAUGCCUGCCACAUAUUACAGAAGAAAGAGAAGAACAAUCAAUAGAGGAGAACAUUCCUUUGUCACCCUCUGGAUUAGGAACAAAUAUGAAGACUCAGAUUGUAAAUGACAGAUCAAUCACUCCUGGAAUUGGAAAAAUACAGAAAAACAUGGAAAAAUCCUUUGAAGAUCUGAAAGUAGAUUCUUCAACAAUUGAGAUGCAAUACCAGGAUUCUAGUGAGGCAGAAAUUACGGAUCCAAACUCAUUUCUGGAAUAUUCAGAAGGCAUUGGGAAGUGUGAAAAA